rnacentral:rRNA from 1 species
UACGUAGGGGGGUAGCGUUAUCCGGAAUUACUGGGCGUAAAGGGUGCGUAGGUGGUUUUUUAAGUCAGACGUGAAAGGCUACGGCUCAACCGUAGUAAGCUUUUGAAACUAGAGAACUUGAGUGCAGGAGAGGAGAGUAGAAUUCCUAGUGAAGGGGUGAAAUGCGUAGAUAUUAGGAGGAAUACCAGUAGCGAAGGCGGCUCUCUAGACUGUAACUGACACUGAGGCACGAAAGCGUGGGGAGCAAACAGG